GUGGAUUAGAUACCCGAGUAGUCCACGCCCUAAACGAUGCGAACUGGAUGUUGGGCACACUUAGGUGCUCAGUGUCGAAGCUAACGCGUUAAGUUCGCCGCCUGGGGAGUACGGUCGCAAGACUGAAACUCAAAGGAAUUGACGGGGGCCCGCACAAGCGGUGGAGUAUGUGGUUUAAUUCGAUGCAACGCGAAGAACCUUACCUGGCCUUGACAUGUCCGGAAUCCUGCAGAGAUGCGGGAGUGCCUUCGGGAAUCGGAACACAGGUGCUGCACGGCCGGCGCCAGCU
rnacentral:rRNA from 1 species